AGCGAACGCUGGCGGCAGGCUUAACACAUGCAAGUCGAACGCCCCGCAAGGGGAGUGGCAGACGGGUGAGUAACACGUGGGAACGUACCCUUUGGUUCGGAAUAACUUGGGGAAACUCAAGCUAAUACCGGAUAAGCCCUUAUGGGGAAAGGUUUACUGCCGAAGGAUCGGCCCGCGUCUGAUUAGCUAGUUGGUGAGGUAAUGGCUCACCAAGGCGACGAUCAGUAGCUGGUCUGAGAGGAUGAUCAGCCACACUGGGACUGAGACACGGCCCAGACUCCUACGGGAGGCAGCAGUGGGGAAUAUUGGACAAUGGGGGCAACCCUGAUCCAGCCAUGCCGCGUUAGUGAUGAAGGCCUUAGGGUUGUAAAGCUCUUUUACCCGGGACGAUAAUGACUGUACCGGGAGAAUAAGCCCCGGCUAACUUCGUGCCAGCCGCCGCAGUAAAAC
rnacentral:rRNA from 1 species